GGAUCGCACAAAUAUCAGAUGGAUCCCAUCAAUAUAAUGUGGGUCCCACAAAUACCAUGUGAAUCACACAAAUAUCAUAUGGAUCCCACAAAUAUCAGAUGGAUCCCGUCAAUAUAAUGUGGGUCCCAUAAAUAUCAUGUGGAUCCCAAAUAUAUCAUGUGCAUCCCAUAAAUAUCAUGUGGAUCCCAUAAAUAUCAGGUGGAUCCCACAAAUACCAUGCGCAUCCCAUAAAUACCAUGUGGAUCAGAUGUUAAUUUUCAUCAUUCCCAUAAUUAUCAUUUCCAUAAUUCGGGUGGGGGGAAGCUGACAAUAACCACAGAGUAAAAUACACAGAAAAAAAAAGUGAAUUUUCCAGGUUUUUCAGCUCCCGUCGCUUCUCCGCCCACGGGAGUCGGGAGAAGGGGAGAGGCCGGAGCGGGAGCGGCAUCUCCAACCGGCUCCGCUUCAAACCGAUUCGAAUUUUCAGCAGCAAAGCGGUUCUUUGCCUUCUGAACCCGAAUUUUUAGGGAGGCUGGGAGCGCCGUUUGCUCCGUGCAGCCCUGGCAAGAUCGAGUUCUUGGUGAUGCUCCCCCUUCAAAUCCCCGUAGCGGAAUGAAAUCAAGCGGAAUUUUUGCCUUACCUGUUUCUUCGGAGGGUUUUUCUUACAAUUCUUUUUAUUUACGCGCGUCCUUGAAGCUCUGCCCGACCUCCCUCGCUGGGGAUGGAGACGGCGAGCGUGGGAAGAGCGGCGAGAUUUAGGGAUUCGGGGAAUAAAGGGUGAAAUCCGCUCCCAGGAACCACAA